AUUGAUGGUUAUUGAUGUUAUUGAUGGUUAUUAAUGGUUAUUGAUGUUACUAAUGGUUAAUGAUAGUUACUAAUGGUUAUUGGUGUUAUUGAUGGUUAUUGGUGUUAUUGAUGUUACUAAUGGUUAUUGAUGGUUAUUGGCGUUAUUGGUGGUUAUUGGUGUUAUUGAUGUUAUUGAUGUUACUAAUGGUUAUUGAUGGUUAUUGGUGGUUAUUGAUGGUUAUUGGUGGUUAUUGAUGUUACUAAUGGUUAUUGACGGUUAUUGGUGUUAUUGAUGGUUAUUGAUGUUACUAAUGGUUAUUGAUGAUUAUUGGUGGUUAUUGAUGUUACGAAUGGUUAUUGAUGGUUAUUGGUGGUUAUUGGUGUUAUUGAUGGUUAUUGAUGUUACUAAUUGUUUAUUGAUGGUAUUGUGUAUUGAUGGUUAUUGGUGUUAUGAUUGUUAUUGAUGGUUAUUGAUGGUUAUUGGUGUCUGUAUUGCUGGUAUGGUGUUAUUGACGGUUAUUGUGUUAUUGAUGGUUAUUGGUGGUUAU
rnacentral:lncRNA from 1 species